rnacentral:rRNA from 1 species
UACGAAGGGGGGCUAGCGUUGCUCGGAAUCACUGGGCGUAAAGGGUGCGUAGGCGGGUCUUUUAAGUCUGGUGUUUAAACCCGAGGCUCAACUUCGGGUCGCACUGGAAACUGGGGGACUUGAGUGCAGAAGAGGAGAGUGGAAUUCCACGUGUAGCGGUGAAAUGCGCAGAUAUCGGGAGGAACACCAAUGGCGAAGGCAGCUCGCUGGGACGUUACUGACGCUGAGACGCGAAAGCGUGGGGAGCAAACAGG